rnacentral:rRNA from 1 species
AUUGAACGCUGGCGGCAGGCCUAACACAUGCAAGUCGAGCGGUAGAGAGAAGCUUGCUUCUCUUGAGAGCGGCGGACGGGUGAGUAAUGCCUAGGAAUCUGCCUGGUAGUGGGGGAUAACGUUCGGAAACGGACGCUAAUACCGCAUACGUCCUACGGGAGAAAGCAGGGGACCUUCGGGCCUUGCGCUAUCAGAUGAGCCUAGGUCGGAUUGGCUAGUUGGUGGGGUAAUGGCCCACCAAGGCGACGAUCCGUAACUGGUCUGAGAGGAUGAUCAGUAAGACUGGAGCUGAGACACGGGCCAGACUCCUACGGGAGGCAGCAGUGGGGAAUAUUGGACAAUGGGGGAAAGAAUGAUCCAGCCAUGCCGAGUGUGUGAAGAAGGUCUUCGGAUUGGAAAGCACUUUAAGUUGGGAGGAAGGGCAGUAAAUUAAUACUUUGCUGUUUUGACGUUACCGACAGAAUAAGCACCGGCUAACUCGGUGCCAGCCGCCGCCGUAA